ACCAGGCAGUUUUGGAGUCUGAGUCAGAGAGAGAUUCAGUCGGGAGCAGACGGAGGAACUGGAAAGCAGCAAGAGAAGCCAAAGGAAAGAAGUCAGAAAAGCUGCUGCAGAGAGAGACAGAAAAAAGAAAACUGGAGCAGAGCAGAGCAGAGCUGACUGACCAGGAGCUGAACAGCGAUUAAAGAAGAAUACUAAAAGAUUUAUCACAGCCGCAGUAGUGAUAUAAAGGAUACCAACGAAUUUAUAAAGUUUAUAUCCUCAAAUGCAGUUCCAGGAGGUGAACCCCACCCAGUCCAUCAAUGAAGUCCCAUUGUCAGUACCUUUCAUCACUCCGCUGGUAAAAUAGCAUCCUGAAUUCCUUCUGCAUGUAUAGAUUAACCAUCUGAAAUCUGUCCCUGGAGGGCCUCGGCGUUUCAUGACUGGUUCGUUCAUCUUAAUGCCACUACAAAGAAGAAAACGAGAAAGGAAAGGAGGAGGAUGGAAAUGCAGCCAAGAGGGCAGCAGAUCAACUGCUCUGGUGGGGUCCCUGCAAAGCCCACCUCCCCCAGAGGGGAAGCAAUGGCAUUCCUUGGAAUGGGCACUGGUUCCAGGAAAGAACAGUGCUGGCCCAACAAGGGUGAAAGAGGGAAGCUCUUGGGGUACUGGUGUCCACUGAGAGAGGGGGACAGGAUCAACAAGGCCACAGAGCAACAUUCAUACCCUGGAAAAGUACUGCUCUUCAAGGAUCCCCACAGAGUACAGUGGUUCGAGUGUGUAAUAGGCUUGCCUAGAGGCCCCAAUUAGGAUCAGGUCCAAUUUGUUCUAGGCACUGCACAUACCUGCUAAGAGGCCACCCCUACUCCAAAGAACUUAUGAUCUAAAGAGAUGAGACAAACAAAGGGUGGGAGAAAGCAAGUGUAGUUAUUCCCAUUGUACAGAUGGGGAAACUGAGGCAAAGGGAGAUGAAGUGACCUGCCAAAAGCCAUGCAAAGUGGUGGUGGUAGAGCCAGAAAAUGAAUCCAGGGUUCCUAAUUCUGAGCCUGGUGCCUUAUGCGUCAACAUUUAAUUUAGUGCUGUGAAACAAGACAGGCUGACAGCCCCAAAAACCAAAGUGUUCCACUGAGCCAAAGAAUGAUGGUAGUGCCAAUUUCCCCCAUUGGGGCUACUCUUCGUAGCCCAUUCAGGCAGUUGGGCUCCCUGUGCCACUGCCUGAAAGAGGCCAAUUACUGUAAAUUAAUGUGGGUACCUCUCUAUCAAAAGCUAGACACAGUGCACGAGUUCAUGUCACAAGCAAUGUAUCAAUAGCCAUCAGAAUAAAGGUGUCCAUCGACCAGUGAACCUCCAGGGCACCACAGCAAAUACCCUUUAAGUGUAGGUGGCAAGCAAAUGACAGAACCAGAGGCUCAAGUUGAUUGGUGGAGGAGGGUUCUGACAGGUGAGAUACAAAACAAUAGCCCAUCCAAGUUAGAACUUACUGCUAAGGUGCUUAACCAGCAACAGUAAUAAUUCCUGGCAGAGGUAUGUCAUUGAUACACCAAGGAGGAAAAUGCACUGUGAUAGGUGAAUCUAAAAGCCCGACGCUGCCAAAACCUCUGGAUUCAGCAUCCAAAGAAGUGUUGGCAUUUCUCUGUAAAAUGCAGGGUGCUGGGAAUUGUAUAACAAGACAGAUAUGUACAAUACACCACAGUCCAUGGGGUUUCAUUUUUGUAAGGAAACACACUGACCUUGGCUGUACAGCUAAAAAUCCGCUAAGCACAGCGACACACCCAAAAUAUCACUUAUUUUUAGAAAUAUUCAUCAUCUUGAUGCGUAGUCACAGUUGUAAGCAUGUCAUAUUCCCUUCUAGAUAAGUACAUAGACUCAUAAUCACAUGGUCUUCUCCUGAAUGCUUCCCUCCUCUUAAUUCACUUUCUCACUGUUGUCUCAUCUGCACAAAGGUCCAGUUGUUCAAAAAUGUAUGCAUCUGUUUAACUUAAUGCACACGAGCAGUCAAUUGAAGUCAUUGGGACUAUUUAUCAUAUGAUUUUGCAGGAUGACCAGCUUAGAUUGUAAGGUCUUCAGGACAGAGACUCAGUCUUUAUCUAUAUUGUAAAAUAUAUGCUAAGCACAUCUAUGAUUCUAUAUAGGUUAUAAAUGAUAAAGUUAAUAAUUAUUACUUCUUGUUGCAGAUUCUAGGUAGUAUAGUCCAAACAGCAUUGCCUAUGCUAAAAAGAACUAGGAUUUGAACUACCAUUACAUUAAUAGAUUUUUAAAGUCAGAAGAUACGUUUUUAUCAAUGUCUUGGAAGUAGGGCUGUCGAUUAAUCGCAGUUAACUCAUGCGAUUAACUAAAAAAAAUUAAUCACAUUUAAAAAGAUUAAUCACGAUUAAUUGCAGCUUUAAUCACACUGUUAAACAAUAGAAUACCAAUUGAAAUUUAUUAAAUAUUUUGGAUGUUUUUCUACAUUUUCAAAUAUAUUUAUUUCAAUUACUACAUAGAAUACAAAGUGUACAGUGGUCAUUUUAUAUUAUUAUUUUUAUUACAAAUAUUUGCAUUGUAAAAAUGAUAAAAUAGUAUUUUUCAAUUCACAUCAUACAAGUACUGUAGUGCAUUCUCUUUAUCAUGAAAGUACACCUUACAAAUGUAGAUUUUUUUUGUUACCUAACUGCACUCAAAAACAAAACAAUAUAAAACUUUAUCGUCUACAAGUCC